rnacentral:rRNA from 1 species
UGAGGAAUCUUGCGCAAUGGGGGAAACCCUGACGCAGCAACGCCGCGUGAGUGAGGAAGGUCUUCGGAUCGUAAAGCUCUGUCGGGUGGAAAGAAAUGUAUGGGGUUAAUAGCCUUCAUACUUGACGGUACCACCAAAGGAAGCACCGGCUAACUCCGUGCCAGCAGCCGCGGUAAUACGGGGGGUGCAAGCGUUGUUCGGAAUUAUUGGGCGUAAAGAGCGUGUAGGCGGCUUGGCAAGUCAGAUGUGAAAGCCCUGGGCUUAACCCAGGAAGUGCAUUUGAAACUGCCUAGCUUGAGUAGGGGAGUGGGAAGUGGAAUUCCUGGUGUAGAGGUGAAAUUCGUAGAUAUCAGGAGGAACACCGGUGGCGAAGGCGACUUCCUGGCCCUAUACUGACGCUGUGACGCGAGAGCGUGGGUAGCAAACAG